GAAGUAGUUCCUGAAUCUGAUUCUAGGAGCAUUGAUGUAGUUUCGAAAGAUGAGAUUGUUACUAGUCAGACACUCGAUGAAGGGAUAUCACAAGAGCAAGUUGAAAUCCCAUCUUCUACAUUGCUUACUGAGGCAAAGGAGAUCGAAGCUUCUCAACAUGAGCAUGAAACUCCAACCAAAGACAAGAAUAUAGAAGAAGAGCAUGAUAAGGAAAUGCCAGCUGAUGAAAAUGCAAGAGAUUUAUCUGCUGAGAGGUCAGAAGAUGAGACACCCUUGCAAAAGGAAGAGUCCAAAGAGCUCAAAGCUUCUGAGUUGGCUCUGGAAAAGCUGGAUGCCGGUGAUACAGAAGAAGGAAUCAAAGAAACUCUUAAGACAAUCUCUAAAUCCGAUUCUCAAAGCAUUGAUGCAGUUUCAAAAGAUGAAAUUGUUGCUGACCAAACACACCUUGAGGCAUCUUAUGCUUUGCUUCCCAUGGAAGAGGAGCUCAAAACUUAUCAAGAAGAUCGUGAAACUACAACCCAAGACAGAUUUAUAGAGGAAGAGUAUGCCAAGAAAACAGAAGUGCCAGCUGAUGAAAAUGGGAGCGAUUUGGUUGCUGCAACAUUGGCAGAAGAGACACUGCUGAAGGAAGAGCCCGGGGAGCUCAAAGUUUCUGAAUUGGCUCCAGAAAAUCUGGAUGCUGGUGAAACGAAAGAAGAAAUAAAAAAAUCUUUUGAAAAGGUGUCUAAAUCUGAUUCUCAAAGCACUGAAGUUGUUUCGGGAGAUGAGACCACUGCUUACCAGACAGAGCUGGUGGGAGAUAAGGCCGUGGAGGAAAGCUUUCAAGUGCAAAGCCUUGAGGAAGCAGAACCAAAAUUGAGAGUUGAAGAUGAGAGUCGCGAAUCAGAAGACCAUCCUGAAAAUAACAACAUGAUAGUUGAAGAGGUAUGCAAUAUACAAUAUACAAUAUGAUGACCAUAAGCAUGUGACACCAUGCACCGUUAUAUAGAAACUCUAAUUUCGUAUUCUCUAACUCUUCCUUUUCUUUGCGAAGCCUCAACUGCUACAACAGGUCCUGGAUGAGCCAAAGAGCACUGACGGAGAUUCCAGUGAAGGACAAACCACAAAACGCAGUGCUGCAAUUUGUGCACCAGAAAUAAUUGAAGAAGGAACUGCUAAGCACUCUCAAGACUGUGACAAAGAGACAGAAAACUCACAGGAAGAGGUCAGCUUAUAAAGCCUACUUUGUCUCUAGGGGAAUUAUUGUUUGCCUGUUUCGAUUAUAAACUUAUUUUUUGUACAGAUACUUAAAGAGCCAGAGAUCGCUGGAGUAGGUGAGAGCACCACAUAUGAAACGAAUCAGAUCGCUGAAACACCUGAAGAAUUUUUUGAUGCUUCACCAGUGAAGUAUGAAGAAGGACAGCCGGGAGAAGGUAGCAGUCAAGAUUCAGCAAAAGCUUCAAAGGAGGAGGAUGUUACUGAAGACGAUGACAAUAAUGAUGCAGUCACAGUUACUGAAUCAAAUGCAGAGGUAACAUCAAAAGGGGAAGAAGAUUCAGCACAGCCUUCGGAGAAAUAUGAACCUGAAGAAGAGAAGGUACCUGUCAAAAUUAGUGACGUAGCAGAUGCAAAAGAGGUUUGCGACGUGGAGGAUAAAUCUUCUUUUCCCGAAAAGACAACAGAAGAGACAAGCUUGCAAACAGAAGGGCAUGCGGAGGUUUCUGAAUUGGCUCCGGAAAAGCUAGAUGUUGAAGCUACUGAAGAAGAAUUCAAAGAAGGUUCUGAAAUAGUUCGUGAAUCUGAUUCUAGGAGCAUUGAUGUAGUUUUGAAAGAUAAGAUCGCUACUAGACAGACACUCGACGAAGGGAUAUCACAAGAGCAAGUUGAAAUCCCAUCUUCUACAUUGCUUACUGAGGCAAAGGAGAUUGAACCUUCUCAACAUGAGCAUGAAACUCCAACCAAUGACAAGAAUAUAGAAGAAGAGCAUGAACAGGAAAUGCCAGCUGAUGAAAACGCAGGAGAUUUAUCUGCUGUGAGGUCAGAAGACGAGACACCCUUGCCAAAGGAAGAGUCCGAAGAGCUCAAACCUUCUGCGUUGGCUCUGGAAAAGCUGGAUGCAGGUGAUACAGAAGAAGAAAUCGAAGAAACUUUUAAGACAAUCUCUAAAUCCGAUUCUCAAAGCACUGAUGCAGUUCCAAAAGAUGAAAUUGUUGCUGAUCAAACACACCUUGAGGCAUCUUAUGCUUUGCUUCCCAAGGAAGAGGAGCUCAAAACUUAUCAAGACGAUCAUGAAACUACAACCCAAGACAAAGGUGUAGAGGAAGAGUAUGCCAAGGAAACAGAAGUGCCAGCUGAUGAAAGUGGGAGAGAUUUGGUUGCACCAACGUUGGCAGAAGAGACACUGCUUCAAAAGGAAGAGCCCGAGGAGCUCAAAGUUUCUGAUUUGGCUCCAGAAAAUCUGGAUGCUGGUGAAACGGAAGAAGAAAUUAAAGAAUCUUUUGAAAAGGUGUCUAAAUCUGAUUCUCAAAGCUCUGAAGUUGUUUCGGGAGAUGAGACGACUGCUAAUCAGACACUCCAUGAAGGUAUAUCAAAUGAGCAACUUCAAUUACCAUCUUCUACGUUGGUGCCCAAGGAAAAAGAGAUAAAAAUUUCUCAACGUGAGCAUGAAACUACAACCCAAGACAAGAAUAAAGAAGAUGGGAGCACAGAGAAAAAUGAAGUUCCAGCUGAUGAAAACACUAGAGAUUUAUUUGUUGCUGCAACUUCUGAAGAAGAGACAUGCUUGCAAAAGGAAGAGCCUAGAGAGUUUAAAGCUUGUGAUUUGGCUCCGGAGAAGCUAGAUGCUGAUGAAACUGAAGAAAUCAAAGAAACUUUGGAAACAAUCUCUAAAUCUGAUUCUCAAAAUAUUGAUACAGUUUCCAAAGAUGAUAUUGUUGCUGAUCAAACUCUCGAUGGGGCAUCUUAUACUUCACUUCCCAAGGAAAAGGAGCAUGAGGCAGGUGAAAGUGAGACGACUGCUUAUUGGGCACUCCAUGAACGCGAAUCCAACACUGAGCUGGCUGGAGUUAAGGCCGUGGAGGAAAGCUUUCAAGUGCAAAGCCUUGAGGAAGCGGAACCAAAAUUGAGAGUUGAAGAUGAGAGUCGCGAAUCAGAAGACCAUCCCGAGAAUAACAUGAUAGUUGAAGAGGUAUGCAUUAUACAACAUGAUGACCAUAAGCAUGUGACACCCAUGCACAAUUAAUAGAAACGCUAAUUUCGUAUUCUCUAACUCUUCCGUUUCUUUCUGAAGCCUCAACUGCUAGAACAUGUCCUGGAUGAGCCAAAGAACACUGACGGAGAUUUCGGUGAAGGACAAACUACAGAAGGCAAUGCCGCACUUUGUACACCAGAUAUAAUUCUAGAAGAAUCUCCUAAGAACUCUCAAAACAUUGACAAAGAGGCAGAAAACUUACAGGAAGAGGUCAGCUUAUAUAGCUUAAUUUGUCUCCAGGGAAGUUAUUGUUUGUCUGUUUCGAAUAUAAACUUCUUUUUUGUACAGAUACUUGAAGAGCCGGAGAUUGCUGGAGUAGGUAAGAGCACCACAUAUGAAACGAAUCAGAUUGCUGAACCAUCUGAAGAAAUUUUUUAUGCUUCACCGGUGAAGUAUGGGGAAGGUCACCCAGGAGAAGGUAGCAGUCAAGAUUCAGCAAAAGCUUCAAAGGAGGAGGAUGUUACUGAAGACGAUUACAAUAAUGGUGCAGUCACAGUUACUGAAUCAAGUGCAGAGGUAACAUCAAAAGGAGAAGAAGAUUUAGCACAUGCUUUAGAGAAAUAUGAACCGGAAGAAGAGAAGGUACCAGUCAAAAUUAGUGAUGCAGCAGACGCGAAGGAGGUUUGUGACUUGGAGGACAAAGCUUCUUUUGCCGAAAAGACAACAGAGGAGACAAGCUUGCAAACGGAAGGGCAUGCGGAGGUUUCUGAAUUGGCUCCAGAAAAGCUAACUGUUAAUGCUACUGAAGAAGAAUGCAAAGAAGGUUCUGAAAUUGUUCCUGAAUCUGAUUCUCGGAGCAUGGAUGUAGUUUCGAAAGAUGAGAUCGUUACUAGCCUGACACUUGAUGAAGGGAUAUCACAAGACCAAGUUGAAAUCCCAUCUUCUACAUUGCUUGCUGAGGCAAAGGAGAUCGAAGCUUCUCAAUAUGAGCAUGAAACUCCAACCAAAGACAAGAAUAUAGAAGAAGAGCAUGAAAAGGAAGUGCCAGCUGAUGAAAACGCGGGAGAUUUAUCUGCUGUGGGGUCAGAAGACAAGACACCUUUGCUAAAGGAAGAGUCUGAAGAACUCAAAGCUUCUAAGUUGGCUCUGGAAAAGCUGGAUGCAGGUGAUACAGAAGAAGAAAUCAAAGAAACUUUUAAGACGAUCUCUAAAUCUGAUUCUCAAAGCACUUAUGCAGUUCCGAAAGAUGAAAUUGUUGCUGAUCAAACACGUCUUGAGGCAUCUUAUGCUUCGCUUCCCAAGGAAGAGGAGCUCAAAACUCAUCAAGACGAUCGUGAAACUGCAACCCAAGAGAAAAGCAUAGAGGAAGUGUACGCCAAGGAAACAGAAGUGCCAGCUGAUGAAAAUGAUAGAGAUUUAGUUGCUGCAGCGUUGGCAGAAGAGACACUGCUACAAAAGGAUGAG
rnacentral:lncRNA from 1 species